rnacentral:rRNA from 1 species
GACGUAGGGGGCAAGCGUUGUCCGGAAUCAUUGGGCGUAAAGCGCUCGUAGGUGGAUCGGUAAGUCUGCAAAGAAAGACCCGGGCUCAACUCGGGGAACGGUGUGGAUACUACCGAUCUUGAGGCAAUCAGAGGAUGAUGGAAUUCCCGGUGUAGCGGUGAAAUGCGUAGAUAUCGGGAGGAACGCCAGUGGCGAAGGCGAUCAUCUGGGGUUGUUCUGACACUGAGGAGCGAAAGCCAGGGGAGCAAACGGG